rnacentral:lncRNA from 1 species
CAAAUAUACCCAUCAUAUAUAUCUCUGUCAUUUUUUAAUAACCACCCGCUAAUUAUCUUGGAUUAAACCCAAAUUAAAUUUCUAUUCGAGUUAAAAUAAAAUUAAAAUAUCUCUUUUGUCUCUAAUUUAAGAAUAAAUAAAAAAAAUUUGGUGACGGUAGAAGGAUGUAUUUUAAAAAAUAAAAUAAUAGUUUCACAGAAAUAACAAAUGUUUUAAAUAGUUUACCAAUCGAAUUUAACUUUAUAAAUAUAUUUGAAAUAAGUUAAAAUAUUAAAAGAAUAUAUUUAAUAGUAAUCUUCUAAAAAAAAAAAAUACAAAAGUUGAAAACUUUUCAAAAAUAUAUAAUAAGCAAUUGACCCUAUAAAAAAAAUUUAAGAGCCAAGUACGGGCGUGUGUCCCCAACUCUCGCUUGACCCCCUUGCAUCGAGAAAGUUUACUAUAUCACAUUUGAACCAUAUCAUCAAUAACAAGCUAAUCAUAUCUCUUCAUUUUAAAAAAAAUAUAACAAAAAUGUUUUUAUAAUUAUGAUGGAAUAAAUAAAUUUUUUAAAAAAUAUUUGAUGAAUAUCACGUCAUUUUUUUUUAAAAAAGUAGGUAGCACGCUACUCGCUUCAUUUAUUUCAUUUAGAAAUAAAUUUAGCUAGAAAUGUGAAUCAACUAGGAUUCAAAUUUGGGUCUCGAGUAUCAAUUAUUAAAUCCUUUGCCACUUACUCUAGAAACGGUCGGUAUAUCACGUCAUUAAUAUAACCGAUAU